rnacentral:rRNA from 1 species
UGUUUCGGCAAGGGGGUCAUCCCGACUUACCAACCCGAUGCAAACUGCGAAUACCGGAGAAUGUUAUCACGGGAGACACACGGCGGGUGCUAACGUCCGUCGUGAAGAGGGAAACAACCCAGACCGCCAGCUAAGGUCCCAAAGUCAUGGUUAAGUGGGAAACGAUGUGGGAAGGCCCAGACAGCCAGGAUGUUGGCUUAGAAGCAGCCAUCAUUUAAAGAAAGCGUAAUAGCUCACUGGUCGAGUCGGCCUGCGCGGAAGAUGUAACGGGGCUAAACCAUGCACCGAAGCUGCGGCAGCGACGCUUAUGCGUUGUUGGGUAGGGGAGCGUUCUGUAAGCCUGUGAAGGUGUGCUGUGAGGCAUGCUGGAGGUAUCAGAAGUGCGAAUGCUGACAUAAGUAACGAUAAAGCGGGUGAAAAGCCCGCUCGCCGGAAGACCAAGGGUUCCUGUCCAACGUUAAUCGGGGCAGGGUGAGUCGACCCCUAAGGCGAGGCCGAAAGGCGUAGUCGAUGGGAAACAGGUUAAUAUUCCUGUACU